rnacentral:rRNA from 1 species
AUUGAACGCUGGCGGCAUGCCUUACACAUGCAAGUCGAACGGUAACAGGUCUUCGGAUGCUGACGAGUGGCGAACGGGUGAGUAAUACAUCGGAACGUGCCUAGUAGUGGGGGAUAACUACUCGAAAGAGUGGCCAAUACCGCAUGAGAUCUACGGAUGAAAGCAGGGGAUCGCAAGACCUUGAGCCACUAGAGCGGCCGAUGGCAGAUUAGGUAGUUGGUGGGAUAAAAGCUUACCAAGCCGACGAUCUGUAGCUGGUCUGAGAGGACGAUCAGCCACACUGGGACUGAGAAACGGCCCAGACUCCUACGGGAGGCAGCAGUGGGGAAUUUUGGACAAUGGGCGCAAGCCUGAUCCAGCAAUGCCGCGUGCAGGAUGAAGGCCUUCGGGUUGUAAACUGCUUUUGUACGGAACGAAAAGCCCCGGGUUAAUACCCUGGGGUCAUGACGGUACCGUAAGAAUAAGCACCGGCUAACUACGUGCCAGCAGCCGCAGUAA